GAGUUUGAUCGUGGCUCAGAUUGAACGCUGGCGGAAUGCUUUACACAUGCAAGUCGAGCGGCAGCGCGGGGCAACCUGGCGGCGAGCGGCGAACGGGUGAGUAAUGCAUCGGAACAUGUCCAUGUCGUGGGGGAUAGCCCGGCGAAAGCCGGAUUAAUACCGCAUACGCCCGAGAGGGGAAAGUGGGGGACCGCAAGGCCUCACGCGAUUGGGUUGGCCGAUGUCCGAUUAGCUAGUUGGCGGGGUAAGAGCCCACCAAGGCGAUGAUCGGUAGCUGGUCUGAGAGGAUGAUCAGCCACACUGGGACUGAGACACGGCCCAGACUCCUACGGGAGGCAGCAGUGGGGAAUUUUGGACAAUGGGGGAAACCCUGAUCCAGCCAUUCCGCGUGAGUGAAGAAGGCCUUCGGUUGUAA
rnacentral:rRNA from 1 species